rnacentral:rRNA from 1 species
GAUGAACGCUGGCGGUGUGCCUAAUACAUGCAAGUCGAGCGACCAGACGAUGAGCUUGCUCCCCUACCGUUAGCGGCUGACGGGUGAGUGAGACGUACAUCACCUACCACUAUUACUGGGAUGACAUCGUGAGACCGGAUCCACUACUGCAUCAUAUAUUGUACCGCAUGGUUCAAUAGUGCUAGACGGUUUUGCCGUCACUUAUAGAUGGUUCCGCGCCGCAUUAGCUAGUUGGUAAGGUAACGGCUUACCAAGGGAACGUUGCGUAUCCGACCUGAUAGGGUGAUCGGCCACACUGGAACUGGGACACGGUCCAGACUCCUACGGGAGGCAGCAGGAGGGAAUCUUCCGACAUGGGCGAAAGCCUGACGGAGCAACGCCGCGUGAGGGAUGAAGGUCUUCGGAUCGGAAAACUCUGUUAGUAGGGAAGAACAAAUAUGUGAGUAACUAUGCGCUUCUCUACGGGACCUAAUCAGAUAGCCACGGCUAACCUCGUU